GACGAACGCUGGCGGCGUGCCUAAUACAUGCAAGUCGAGCGGACGUUUUAUUGGUGCUUGCACCGAUAAAACGUUAGCGGCGGACGGGUGAGUAACACGUGGGCAACCUGCCCUGUAGAUUGGGAUAACUCCGGGAAACCGGGGCUAAUACCGAAUAAUACUUUUUAGCUCAUGCUAGAAAGUUGAAAGAUGGUUCUGCUAUCACUACAGGAUGGGCCCGCGGCGCAUUAGCUAGUUGGUGAGGUAACGGCUCACCAAGGCGACGAUGCGUAGCCGACCUGAGAGGGUGAUCGGCCACACUGGGACUGAGACACGGCCCAGACUCCUACGGGAGGCAGCAGUAGGGAAUCUUCCACAAUGGGCGAAAGCCUGAUGGAGCAACGCCGCGUGAGUGAAGAAGGAUUUCGGUUCGUAAAACUCUGUUGUAAGGGAAGAACAAGUAGCGUAGUAACUGGCGCUACCUUGACGGUACCUUAUUAGAAAGCCACGGCUAACUACGUG
rnacentral:rRNA from 1 species